AAUAGAUAAGACCGGUCCUCUAUAUAAUUUGCAUAUUUUGUUUAUACGUGGCACUUCUGAAGAGAAACGCUUGCUUCAGGGCGAGAUGUUCUUCAGCUUCUUCAGUUUUCUACUCGCUGGCAUCAGCAUUUGCACAGUCCAAUGUUUGAUAUGCCUUAAUUGUACGGAUAUCAGGGAUAUCAACAGUCCUCUACACUGCAAAUAUGUUUUGGAAUGUCAGCAUGGCGAGGUUUGCAAUGUUCACAUGACAACAAAUCAAUACGGAGACGCUGUGAUUAACAUUGGCUGUGUACAUCCAUCGACGUUGGAUACUGCAGUUCGGAUCCCUGUAAAUAUGGGACUUGCACCAGCACGAAAACUGGCUACAAAUGUUUGUGUGACCAGUAUCACAUAGAGAUCAAUUGUUCAGUGUCCUCGGUCCGUUUCCGCAUGCGUUUACACCAGCUAAAAGUUCGUCCCAGAUCUCACGGACUCGAGCAACCAUGCCCGGACCGCCCGAGC